rnacentral:rRNA from 1 species
CCUACGGGAGGCUGCAGUGAGGAAUAUUGGUCAAUGGGCGCUAGCCUGAACCAGCCAAGUAGCGUGAAGGAUGACUGCCCUAUGGGUUGUAAACUUCUUUUAUAUGGGAAUAAAGUGCAGUAUGUAUACUGCUUUGCAUGUACCUUAUGAAUAAGGAUCGGCUAACUCCGUGCCAGCAGCCGCGGUAAUACGGAGGAUCCGAGCGUUAUCCGGAUUUAUUGGGUUUAAAGGGAGCGUAGGCGGGUUGUUAAGUCAGUUGUGAAAGUUGGCGGCUCAACCAUAAAAUUGCAGUUGAUACUGGCAGCCUUGAGUACAGUAGAGGUAGGCGGAAUUCGUGGUGUAGCGGUGAAAUGCUUAGAGAUCACGAAGAACUCCGAUUGCGAAGGCAGCCUGCUGGACUGUAACUGACGCUGAUGCUCGAAAGUGUGGGUAUCAAACAGGAUUAGAUACCCCUGUAGUC